ACCCGCACAAGCAGCGGAGCAUGUGGUUUAAUUCGAAGCAACGCGAAGAACCUUACCAGAUCUUGACAUCCAAUUGACCAUCUUUUAAUCGAGAUUUUGCCUUCGGGUACAAUUGAGACAGGUGGUGCAUGGUUGUCGUCAGCUCGUGUCGUGAGAUGUUGGGUUAAGUCCCGCAACGAGCGCAACCCUUGUGUUUAGUUGCAAACAGGUGAAGCCGGGCACUCUGGAAGGACUGCCAUCGACAAGAUGGAGGAAGGUGGGGACGACGUCAAGUCAUCAUGGCCCUUAUGUCCAGGGCGACACACGUGCUACAAUGGCCGGCACAACGGGAAGCGAGUUCGCGAGGACGAGCGGAUCCCUUAAAGCCGGUCGCAGUUCGGAUUGAAGUCUGCAACUCGACUUCAUGAAGCUGGAAUCGCUAGUAAUCGCAGAUCAGCCAAGCUGCGGUGAAUACGUUCCCGGGCCUU
rnacentral:rRNA from 1 species